rnacentral:pre_miRNA from 1 species
UGGAAACUUUCAUUUGGAGAGACAUAGACAAAUGAAAUUAAAUGAUAAUUUAUUUCAAUGUCUAUCUCUCUCUAAAUGGAAGUGUCCAU